rnacentral:rRNA from 1 species
CCUACGGGUGGCAGCAGUGAGGAAUAUUGGUCAAUGGACGCAAGUCUGAACCAGCCAUGCCGCGUGCAGGAAGACGGCUCUAUGAGUUGUAAACUGCUUUUGUACGGGGGUAAACGCAGAUACGUGUACCUGUCUGAAAGUAUCGUAUGAAUAAGGAUCGGCUAACUCCGUGCCAGCAGCCGCGGUAAUACGGAGGAUCCGAGCGUUAUCCGGAUUUAUUGGGUUUAAAGGGUGCGUAGGCGGUCGGUUAAGUCAGAGGUGAAAUCCCGAGGCUCAACUGCGGAAUUGCAUCUGAUACUGUUCGUCUAGAGAGUAGUUGCGGUAGGCGGAAUGUAUGGUGUAGCGGUGAAAUGCUUAGAGAUCAUACAGAACACCGAUUGCGAAGGCAGCUUACCAAGCUGCUUCUGACGUUGAGGCACGAAAGCGUGGGGAGCAAACAGGAUUAGAUACCCCGGUAGUC